rnacentral:rRNA from 1 species
GAUGAACGCUGGCGGCGUGCCUAAUACAUGCAAGUCGAGCGAACGGACGAGAAGCUUGCUUCUCUGAUGUUAGCGGCGGACGGGUGAGUAACACGUGGAUAACCUACCUAUAAGACUGGGAUAACUUCGGGAAACCGGAGCUAAUACCGGAUAAUAUUUUGAACCGCACGAUUCAAAAGUGAAAGACGGUCUUGCUGUCACUUAUAGAUGGAUCCGCGCUGCAUUAGCUAGUUGGUAAGGUAACGGCUUACCAAGGCAACGAUGCAUAGCCGACCUGAGAGGGUGAUCGGCCACACUGGAACUGAGACACGGUCCAGACUCCUACGGGAGGCAGCAGUAGGGAAUCUUCCGCAAUGGGCGAAAGCCUGACGGAGCAACGCCGCGUGAGUGAUGAAGGUCUUCGGAUCGUAAAACUCUGUUAUUAGGGAAGAACAUAUGUGUAAGUAACUGUGCACAUCUUGACGGUACCUAAUCAGAAAGCCACGGCUAACUACGUGCCAGCAGCCGCGGUAAUACGUAGGUGGCAAGCGUUAUCCGGAAUUAUUGGGCGUAAAGCGCGCGUAGGCGGUUUUUUAAGUCUGAUGUGAAAGCCCACGGCUCAACCGUGGAGGGUCAUUGGAAACUGGAAAACUUGAGUGCAGAAGAGGAAAGUGGAAUUCCAUGUGUAGCGGUGAAAUGCGCAGAGAUAUGGAGGAACACCAGUGGCGAAGGCGACUUUCUGGUCUGUAACUGACGCUGAUGUGCGAAAGCGUGGGGAUCAAACAGGAUUAGAUACCCUGGUAGUCCACGCCGUAAACGAUGAGUGCUAAGUGUUAGGGGGUUUCCGCCCCUUAGUGCUGCAGCUAACGCAUUAAGCACUCCGCCUGGGGAGUACGACCGCAAGGUUGAAACUCAAAGGAAUUGACGGGGACCCGCACAAGCGGUGGAGCAUGUGGUUUAAUUCGAAGCAACGCGAAGAACCUUACCAAAUCUUGACAUCCUUUGACAACUCUAGAGAUAGAGCCUUCCCCUUCGGGGGACAAAGUGACAGGUGGUGCAUGGUUGUCGUCAGCUCGUGUCGUGAGAUGUUGGGUUAAGUCCCGCAACGAGCGCAACCCUUAAGCUUAGUUGCCAUCAUUAAGUUGGGCACUCUAAGUUGACUGCCGGUGACAAACCGGAGGAAGGUGGGGAUGACGUCAAAUCAUCAUGCCCCUUAUGAUUUGGGCUACACACGUGCUACAAUGGACAAUACAAAGGGCAGCGAAACCGCGAGGUCAAGCAAAUCCCAUAAAGUUGUUCUCAGUUCGGAUUGUAGUCUGCAACUCGACUACAUGAAGCUGGAAUCGCUAGUAAUCGUAGAUCAGCAUGCUACGGUGAAUACGUUCCCGGGUCU